GAUGAACGCUGGCGGCGUGCCUAAUACAUGCAAGUCGAGCGAACGGACGAGAAGCUUGCUUUUCUGAUGUUAGCGGCGGACGGGUGAGUAACACGUGGAUAACCUACCUAUAAGACUGGGAUAACUUCGGGAAACCGGAGCUAAUACCGGAUAAUAUUUUGAACCGCAUGGUUCAAAAGUGAAAGACGGUCUUGCUGUCACUUAUAGAUGGAUCCGCGCUGCAUUAGCUAGUUGGUAAGGUAACGGCUUACCAAGGCAACGAUGCAUAGCCGACCUGAGAGGGUGAUCGGCCACACUGGAACUGAGACACGGUCCAGAGUCCUACGGGAGGCAGCAGUAGGGAAUCGUCCGCAAUGGGCGAAAGCCUGACGGAGCAACGCCGCGUGAGUGAUGAAGGUCUUCGGAUCGUAGAACUCUGUUAUUAGGGAAGAACAUAUGUGUAAGUAACUGUGCACAUCUUGACGGUACCUAAUCAGAAAGCCACGGCUAACUACGUG
rnacentral:rRNA from 1 species